rfam:Dipodomys ordii contig_8060, whole genome shotgun sequence.
GGGAAGGUGGCUCAGUGGUAGAGUGCUUGCCUCCUAUGCAUGAAGCCCUGGGUUCGAUUCCUUAGCACCUCA